rnacentral:lncRNA from 1 species
CCAAAAUAGAUGGCUUCGGUAGGUAGCAUGCCGAAGAGGUCCGUUGAUCAGUAUCGAUUUCAUCCACGUGUUCGGUGGUAACCGACAUCUCAAAAUGUUUUCCAGCCACUAAGUUAUAACAUGAGUCUAGAAUAUUCUACUUACAAUACAUUAUAUUAUAUAUAAUUAAUAGGAUGUUUCUGGUGGAGGGGAAAAGCUAAU